AGUGAACGCUGGCGGUAGGCCUAACACAUGCAAGUCGAACGGCAGCACAGAGGAGCUUGCUCCUUGGGUGGCGAGUGGCGGACGGGUGAGGAAUACAUCGGAAUCUACUCUGUCGUGGGGGAUAACGUAGGGAAUCUUACGCUAAUACCGCAUACGACCUACGGGUGAAAGCAGGGGAUCUUCGGACCUUGCGCGAUUGAAUGAGCCGAUGUCGGAUUAGCUAGUUGGCGGGGUAAAGGCCCACCAAGGCGACGAUCCGUAGCUGGGCUGAGCGGAUGAUCAGCGAGACUGGAACUGAGACACGCGCCAGACUCAUACGGGAGGCAGAAGUGGGGAAUAUUGGACAAUGGGCGCAAGCCUGAUCCGGCUAUACCGCGUGGGUGAAGAAGGCCUUCGGGUUGUAAAGCCCUUUUGUUGGGAAAGAAAUCCAUCUGGUUAAUACCCGGGUGGGAUGACGGUACCCAAAGAAUAAGCACCGGCUAACUUCGUGCCAGCAGCCGCCGUAA
rnacentral:rRNA from 1 species